GGUAAAACUGAAUUCUCGAGAAUAAAGUAAAACGUUGAAGUAAUGAAUGAGUAACUUGGAAGUAAUGAGAAGCUUUGAAGCAAGGAUAAUGAAACUUUGAGAAACAGACAGUACUGAGUUAAAAGGUUAUAUGGUAUUUCAUGGUAAAGAAGAAAAAGAGACCAAUGCAUGUUUAGGAAUAGAGAAGAAUAUAAGAGUUAUUGGUCAGCUUAUGGUUUAAUAAGUGUCAAACUCACGGGAUUGGAGAAUCCUGUACUUCUUUGAGACUUCAAAGAGGAGCUCCGGCGUGGGCAUACGUCAGGUGGUGUUGCCGAGAGUUGUGGGCUCGGUGAAUAGCUAAUGAUCAAGAGGAUCAUUUUGGGAGACGCUCAUUUGCAAGUAAAAGGAUUAAGUUCGGACGAGGAAGUCCGACAGAAACACCUGGUGCUGUCAGGAUGUUUAAGUGACACAGAAGUUCAGAAAAUCGAGUCAGAAAUGGUUUUGUGGCUCUUGGUAAACUGAUUUUGAAGGAAAAUCAGUGUUUAUUGUGCUGAAGUAACAUAUCCGGCGUGGUCUGAGGAAAAGAAAUAAAUCGGUUAAUGGCUGAUAUAUUUAUAUGAAUUUUGGUGGAUCUGCUGAGGUCCAGAAAAUAACGAACGUUAAUAAAUGAUCCAGGAAGAAUUGCCCUGGGUCUGUGUCUGUGUGUGUGUGUUGUUCAGUGACAACAUGCACAGUUUAAAAUGGGCCCUGUUCCUUCCUCUUUUUAGUUUCAAAACACAAAGGCUGUUGGAUGAAGAAUUACUGUGUGAGGAACGGCUUCACUUUUGAUUAGGGAAAUAAUAUGCUUACUUUUGGGUUUAUGAAGAUCUCGUAACAAUCUGGGGGAGAUGCCGGGGUAAAAAGAGUGAGCUCGGACGAAGGGGUCCGAGAAAAGAACACCGUGAGUUGAGCAAGGUGUUUUAACUGACUCAGGAUUUCAGAGAAUCGAGUCAGCUGUGAUCUUGAGUUUUAAGGAGUCAGUGUGUCCCCUCCCCUCAUAGCACCCGUGCCCAGUUGGCCCCGUAUCAGGCGAAGCAUGGAAGGCUGGACAGCCCAUGACGGGUAAGAUCCCACCUCGAAACCCUGGGACAACCUAAGGCAAGGCGCAGUCACGAUUGCUUGAACCUAGGUCCCUAAGUGAGCUGGACUCACUGGAGGAGACGGGACUACAAGGGUAAAGCCGCUGGGGCAGAGGGGAAAACGUCAUUAACAAUGACG
ensembl:lncRNA